AGCGAACGCUGGCGGCAGGCCUAACACAUGCAAGUCGAACGGAUCCUUCGGGAUUAGUGGCGGACGGGUGAGUAACACGUGGGAACGUGCCCUUUGGUUCGGAACAACUCAGGGAAACUUGAGCUAAUACCGGAUGUGCCCUUCGGGGGAAAGAUUUAUCGCCAUUGGAGCGGCCCGCGUCUGAUUAGCUAGUUGGUGAGGUAACGGCCCACCAAGGCGACGAUCAGUAGCUGGUCUGAGAGGAUGAUCAGCCACACUGGGACUGAGACACGGCCCAGACUCCUACGGGAGGCAGCAGUGGGGAAUCUUGCGCAAUGGGCGAAAGCCUGACGCAGCCAUGCCGCGUGAAUGAUGAAGGUCUUAGGAUUGUAAAAUUCUUUCAGCGGGGACGAUAAUGACGGUACCCGCAGAAGAAGCUCCGGCUAACUUCAUG
rnacentral:rRNA from 1 species